CAGUCGCCGCGGGAAUACGUAGGGUGCAAGCGUUAAUCGGAAUUACUGGGCGUAAAGCGUGCGCAGGCGGUUUGUUAAGACAGAUGUGAAAUCCCCGGGCUCAACCUGGGAACUUCAUUUGUGACUGGCAAGCUAGAGUGUGGCAGAGGGGGGUGGAAUUCCGCGUGUAGCAGUGAAAUGCGUAGAUAUGCGGAGGAACACCGAUGGCGAAGGCAGCCCCCUGGGCCAACACUGACGCUCAUGCACGAAAGCGUGGGGAGCAAACAGGAUUAGAUACCCCGGUAGUCCCUGUCUCUUAUAC
rnacentral:rRNA from 1 species